GGGGCCACUAGGGACGCGGGCCUUGAGCAGAGGGCGGGGCCUGGAGGAGGAGCCGAGGGCAGCGUGGGGAGGAGAAGGUGAGGGAGGGGGUGGAGGCGAAGGAAGCAGACAGACACCCCAAGAACAGGCGUGGAAACAAGGUAAGGGUGCGAAAAGGCCGGUGCAAAGGGUAGAGAGAGAGGGAAAGUGGAGGAUAGACAAGCCAACCGGGCAGCUCAGCUUGCGGAGGUCAGAAAAGGGGAAAGAAGGGUCCUGAGACCUUGUGUUCCAUGUGGCAGAAAACUGGAGGCGGAGUUGCAGGAGGAGCGGAGUUUUCCCGUCCCGGGAUCUUUGGCUGCACAGAGAAAACCUUGGCAGGUGGAGAUGGGAGAAAAUGUAGGAGCGUCACAGGUCCUGGCUCUUGUGCUGCCCGGGAUUCCUGGAUCACUGACUGAAACGAUGGGAAGGAGGUUUUCAAUGACUCUCUGAGGUUAAUCAGCACAAGCACUGUGACUUCUGAGUCAACCCCCACUCCAGGGCCAACCAAAGACUCAAGGCUUAAUGACUCACUUCUCUGGUCCCCAAGGACUCACAAGCCAAUGUCUUCCAAAUCCAGUUGGCAAAUGGAUGCUUUGGUGGCUAAAGAAGUUUCCCAACCCUCCCUGGCCACAAGCUGAAGCCCUCCCAGCCGCAGAGCCUCCCUCCCUUAAAGCCCUUCUUUCCAUCCAGCCUCCUGAUGUCGGACUGGCUAUGUGCACUAGAUUCAGAGUUGGAUGAGCCCAGCCUUGCUUUAUAAGGGGAAGCAUUUUCCUGGCCUGAUUGGUGACCUUGAGCCACCAGGACUGCGCUCCCCCUCCACCUUGUUCUGUGCUCUAUCCUCUGUCAGUGAGAGUUUGGAAGGAAUAAUCAAUCUCUCUGAACUCAAACUUCAUCCAGCCCUCUCUGACUCGGUCUUACAGCCUUCCCCUUUGAUACACAGCAUCUGUGAAUGUCUGCACACUAAUGGGACCAAUGCCUACCUAAGUCGGAAAGUGAGUGGUUACCUACAGAAUCUAGCAGAGAACAAGACAAGCAGUAGCAAGAAAUGGACCCUUCCAUCCACUGCGCCAGCCUACUAGAGCACUGAUGUGCACCAGAUGUGGGAUCAGGUACAAGAAUCUCAAGUUGGUUUUUACCCAAAUGCUACCAUUUGACCCGACUUUGCUCUUCAAAAGAAUUUUUUAAACUCCUCCUGAGUUUCACUUCUGCAUCAACACAGACGUUGGAAGCAGGUGGCUCACCUGCAUGUGCUUGAUGAUGUGAGACUCCUGCACGGAAUAUCUCCACCCACAGGUUCCCUGACUGUCUUCAACAAAUGCCCACGGGCCAGAGGGAUUCUGAGCAGUAGGGUCACAGAAGCCCUUACAGUGUCUGGGCUGUGGGUAGAAGCUCUCUGUCCCUCAACCCAUCUCACCCACAGGAAGUAAAUGCUUUGUCAGCCCCACAGGCAGACAGAUCAACAGCUGAACAUAGAAGUGUUUCCAGGAACUCUUUCAUCAGCAGAGGGCGCUCUAGUUAGCAAAUAACUUUUCCUGUGACAACUUUCCUGCAUGCAAGGUAAGGAGAGAACAAGAAACCAGGGUGCUAGGGAGUGUCUGGAAAGAAGGUUCAUGGGUUUGUGAGCAUCGAUAGUUAUGGGAAGCUAAAGGGAAGAGAAUGGAGGGAAGAUGUCCCAGGUAAGGACAGGGAAAAACUGUCCUUUGUUGAGAAUGUCUGCUUUGUCCAAAACCAACACUUGACGCUGUGAAGUCUCACAGCCUCAACUACAAUCUGGUGAUGCUCUGAUGGGUAAGAAGGGGGAACAAAUGGCUCCUGCUCCAAGUAUCGAACUAGACUCAUGGAGAUGUUUUCCUUUAAAACAAACGCAAUGGUGCCCAGUUUGGCUCCUGGGACUCCAGGUGUGCCGGUGAGGGCAACUAGCCAGUGUCUUUCCCUGAUAUCAGAGGCCAGUAUCUUGGCUAUCCAACAUGCACUGAAGAUCAGCAUCUAUCUCUUCAGUAACCCUCUAGGCCUUCAGUGCCAACUUGGGACUGCUGAGGCAUCCAGUCUUGUGUCCAGAGCAACUAUAAGGGUGUCUGGUUCUUAGAUAUCAUUAGACUAUCCUGAUCGUGUGAUACAGCCCCAGUCUAAUACAUCCCCUUGUGACAUUGGUUCCCCCUACCUGUUUUGUUCCUCUGCAACACCUGUCUAAUACAACCACCAAGGCCAACAAUGAUGAUGAGAGGUGAGAUGAGAUCAUAGUUAUUUAGCAUUUACUAGUGGCUAAUCUUCAUAUUACACACUUCAACACAUCACAUUCUGUGAACCCUGAAUGAGAACUUCCUUCAUUCUUCAUGGAAACUCAUGGAAUAAGGCACACAGAGGACCUCUAUUGCUGUGAACCUUGUACACAGUGGGACAGGUGCAUAAGGACAAGUAGGUAAAUUUGCAAACAAGCUGCUCUGGAGACCAUUGAGGACAAUAAGGGAAAGGAAAAUCAAGUGAGGUAGAGUGAGUGGGGUAAGCCAAGUCCCCACCAGCCACAGGGAAGACCUCGAGAGACAAUGACCUUGGAAUAGUCUACGCCUUUUCUCUGAGAUGCAAUUCUUCCAGAAAUUUGGUUGCUUUUAUGCCUCCGAAUCCACCAUAGACUGAAUAAAUGACUGCAGGUCUAUUUUUUUUUAUGUAUAAAAAACACUCUUGGGAUUUACAAGUGAAGGCUAUUGCUAUGUUUGUUGGAUUUCUGUGGUUGGCAUUUUCUCAAGUGGUGGUUAAUAAAAAUCUAACUACUUGUGGAGACAUAAUGAGAGCUAUAGAAUGGUUUGGGUAAAUUUUAUAAAAUAAGGGAAAAGAUAAAAUAUACCAUAUUAGGCUUGGUAAGGUAGCUCAGACUACUAAGUAUUUUCUAGGCAACUGUUAGGACCUGAGAUUGAUCCCCAGCACCCAGAUAAAAAUGGGGACAUGGUGAUGUAUGUCUAGAAUCAUAGCUAGCACCAGCAAGGGAGAGACAAGUAGAUCUCAAGGACUUGUUGGCCAACCACUUUAACUUAAUUGGUGAGUUCUAGGACAGUGAGAGGCCCCGUCUCAAAAAAAAAAAUGUAGACAGUAACUAAGGGAAACAGCAAAUGUUGUCUUCUGACCUGACUAUGUGCGCGUGCGCACACACACACACACUCACAUGUUGCAGAAUAUUUGAUCACACCAUGAACCCCAAGAUUGUGUACACUUUUCGUCUCUCUGGCUGGAAUAAAUACACACCCUUAAUACACACCUUUAAUCCCAAACAAGAAAGGUAGAAAGUUUGUAUAAGGACACACCCAUGUUUAAAAGUGAUGUCUGAGUGGCAGACAAGGUGAUGAAUCAGAGAAAGAUUUGACAGACUAGAAUACACCCAAUUCUUACAAGAAGAAGGGAGAGAGAAGCUACUUGAGGGGCAGUGCAAAGAGGAAGGAGGCAGUUUUACUGGGAGAGCUUUACAGAGACAGGUUGAAGAGACAACAAGCUAGACAUGGGUGAAGACAUAAUGAGCCAGAAAAUGAGAAGGGGCAAGAAAAUUAGAAGAGAUUGCUAGAGUUACUUAGAGGUCAUGCAGAGCAACUCAGGAAAUCUAAGAGAAGCCAGAUUGAAUCAGUCAGCUUGGAGAGGAGUUGGAGCCAGAAUAGCUGAAUAGACCAGCUAGCCAAAGAUCAGAAAGAACUAGGAAGGGGUGAGCUUAUUCAACACAAGUCUCAGAGGCUAAAAACAUUCUAGAGCUAGAUUAGACUGUGUGGAAGGUAGAAACUUCCAGGACUGGGCCUAGGUUAGCAGACAGAGGCAGUAAGCCUCAGAGAUAACAAUUACAUGAGCAAAUAACAGUUACUUUUUCACACACACAUGCACACAUGAACAUACACAUUACAUACACAUAUGCACACAUAUAUGUACACACAUGCAUACUCAAUAUAUACACAUGUGCACACACAAACACAAGUGCAUAUACAUUCACACAUACAUGUACACACAUGCACAUGCAUACACACAUAUGCACAGACACUGUACUAUCUUACCAACAAAGGACAGGAAGCAUCUGGAACAUUAGGUUUUAGUCCUGCUUCUUCCAGACACCCAUUUAUCUGAUUCACUGCACCUGCUUCAGCCACUCCAAAGUCCCUUUUGCCACAGAUGCUGUUGCCCAGUCCUGGAUCAUUCUCGGGUCAAGCUCAGCCCUGUAAACCCAAAGUUGAUUCCCCACCUGAUUUAAAGCCUCUGCUCAUCACCCCAAAAUCAACUCAUUCUGCGCCCACUGCUGUUGCCCUGUGAAACCCUGGAAUCUCUUAUACCCAAUGACUCCAUUCCAAAAAGCUUCAGGAAAAUGGGAAAUUUCUGGAAAGCUCCUUAGUGUGUCAGCAUCCACUCACUGCCUAUCAAUUUUCAUUCCUCCCUUGUGUUUGCUAAUGUACUUUGAUUUUUUUUUCAUUUUUUGGAUUGACAGUGUGCCCAAGACAAAAGCAAUGGUUAUCAGUGUUCUGGUUAGAAGUGAUGUGGGAAAGGAUGGCAGGAACCAGUGAUAAAACUUUCAAGAAAUACUUCCAGGUGAAGGCUUUAAAUACACUAGGAUCAAUAAAACCUCGCCCCUUCUCAUUUUCUUUCCCCCUAACUGGAAUAUAGAGUGUGUAGUAGGGAUUUCAGCAGCCACUCUGUAACCAAGAGGGCACAGUUGGUGAGCCAGACAGAUAGAAGCAGCUUGGAACUCUGUAACUUUUAGACUCCACUGUUCCUUUCCCGUCCCCUCUUCCUCAUGAUGCUCUUCAUGCGAGCGUCCUCAUCACCUUUGGAACACACCAGAAAGAUGUCCACCCCAUGCCAUUGCCAUGUUUGUUCAUCUGUCUUUGCUCAGAUGUCUGUGUCCCUCAAGGCUCUGCUCCUGAUCAUGCUGGUGGACUCAGUAGCUGGGCCAGCACUGCCAAUCACCUUGACUUUAUUCCCACCUUUCCCAUAGCAUGCUCCCUAAACUGCUCACUCUGUGCAGCCAGGCUUCCUCUGUCUUGGGGAUUGUUGUACUUCCCGUCAACCACUUGGCACACUGUAAGCCUUCUAUCACAGCCCAGAGACAGCUAAGGGUGAAUGUUGUCCUGGCUUGGGUCAUCAGUCAGAGUUAAAAGAAAUGAACGCACAAGAAAGAGAGCCCGUGUUCACCAUGGAAUGAGGUGGUAACAGACAGAAGGGUUGCACCUGCCAUGGGUGCCAGGCGUGGACUGUGGUUGAGGACGAGACUCAAGAUGCAAAGCAUCCAGCUGCAAAUGCCACAUUCUGCCAGUGACAUGUACUAGGUGCUUCUUGUGACCAAUUGCAAGAAGCAGUUUAAGGGACAAAGGGCUUAUUCUGGGAUCAAUCCACCAGGGCUAGUGUGAUCCUUUGUAUGCUCGUCCCAGGGAGUGGCUCUAUUAGAAGGUGUGGCCUUGUUGGAGGAACUGUGUCACUAUGGGGAUGGGCUUAGAGAUCUUCCUCCUAGAUACCUGAGCAUGCCUAGUCUGUUCCUGGCUUCCUUUGGAUAAAGACACAGAACCCUCAGCUCCUCCUGCACCAUGCCUGCCUGGAUGCUGCCAUGCUUCUGCCUUGAUGACAAUGGACUGAACCUCUGAACCUGUAAGCCAGCCCCAAUUAAAUGUAGUCUUUUAUAAAACUUGCAUUGGUCACGGUGUCUGUUCACGGCAGUA